AGACUUAGGUUAAACACAAACCCGGGACCUUCAAAGCCCCAAACAAGCCCACAUGCUUAGUCCCUG
rnacentral:tRNA from 1 species